rnacentral:precursor_RNA from 15 species
GUCCUGUUCUUUGAUGGCCAGGUGCCCAACUGUGUAGAGCCAAGAAAUACGUCGUGUUUUCUCUCUCUCGGUAAAUUUCUUGCCUCUCUCAUUUGAGCAUCUAGGACUGUGCAUCUGUCCCCU